rnacentral:rRNA from 1 species
CAGUAGCCGCGGGAAUACGAAGGGGGCUAGCGUUGUUCGGAUUUACUGGGCGUAAAGGGCGCGUAGGCGGGCGAAUAAGUCAGGGGUGAAAUCCCAAGGCUCAACCUUGGAACUGCCUUUGAUACUGUUUGUCUUGAGUUCGAGAGAGGUAAGUGGAACUGCGAGUGUAGAGGUGAAAUUCGUAGAUAUUCGCAAGAACACCAGUGGCGAAGGCGGCUUACUGGCUCGAAACUGACGCUGAGGCGCGAAAGCGUGGGGAGCAAACAGGAUUAGAUACCCGAGUAGUCCCUGUCUCUUAUAC